rnacentral:rRNA from 1 species
UACGUAGGGUGCGGGCGUUAAUCGGAAUUACUGGGCGUAAAGCGUGCGCAGGCGGUUGUGCAAGACAGAUGUGAAAUCCCCGGGCUUAACCUGGGAAUUGCAUUUGUGACUGCACGGCUAGAGUGUGUCAGAGGGGGGUAGAAUUCCACGUGUAGCAGUGAAAUGCGUAGAUAUGUGGAGGAAUACCGAUGGCGAAGGCAGCCCCCUGGGAUAACACUGACGCUCAUGCACGAAAGCGUGGGGAGCAAACAGG